rnacentral:rRNA from 1 species
CCUACGGGAGGCAGCAGUGGGGAAUAUUGCACAAUGGGCGAAAGCCUGAUGCAGCGACGCCGCGUGAGGGAUGACGGCCUUCGGGUUGUAAACCUCUUUCAGCAGGGAAGAAGCGAAAGUGACGGUACCUGCAGAAGAAGCGCCGGCUAACUACGUGCCAGCAGCCGCGGUAAUACGUAGGGCGCAAGCGUUGUCCGGAAUUAUUGGGCGUAAAGAGCUCGUAGGCGGCUUGUCACGUCGGGUGUGAAAGCCCGGGGCUUAACCCCGGGUCUGCAUUCGAUACGGGCUAGCUAGAGUGUGGUAGGGGAGAUCGGAAUUCCUGGUGUAGCGGUGAAAUGCGCAGAUAUCAGGAGGAACACCGGUUGGCGAAGGCGGAUCUCUGGGCCAUUACUGACGCUGAGGAGCGAAAGCGUGGGGAGCGAACAGGAUUAGAUACCCUGGUAGUCCACGCCGUAAACGGUGGGAACUAGGUGUUGGCGACAUUCCACGUCGUCGGUGCCGCNCGCACGACAUACGUUACCGUCCGUCGGAGGUACGGCCGGCGACGACGUAAACCGUAACAACUAGAAGUUAGUACGGCGUGAGACGACGCCGACGGACGACGACGACGGAGGUAGG